GAUGAACGCUGGCGGCGUGCCUAAUACAUGCAAGUCGAGCGAAGCGGGGACGGGUGAGUAACACGUGGAUAACCUCCUAUAAGAUUGGGAUAACUUCGGGAAACCGGAGCUAAACCGGAUACUUAUAGAUGGAUCCGCGCUGCAUUAGCUUGUUGGUAAGGUAACGGCUUACCAAGGCAACGAUGCAUAGCCGACCUGAGAGGGGAGUAGGGCACACUAGAACUGAAACAAGGUCCAGACUACACUGGGAGGGAGCGGAAGGGAAUCGUCCGCAAGGGGCGAGAGGCUGACGGGACAACGCCGCGUGAGUGAAGGAGGUCUUGGGAUCGUAGAACUCUGUUAUUAGGGUAGCGGUACUUAAUCAGAAAGCCACGGCUAACUACGUGCCAGCAGCCGCGGUAAUAC
rnacentral:rRNA from 1 species